CCUACGGGAGGCAGCAGUGGGGGAUAUUGCACAAUGGGGGGAACCCUGAUGCAGCGACGCCGCGUGUGGGAAGACGGUCCUCUGGAUUGUAAACCACUGUCCCCAGGGACGAAAAUGACGGUACCUGGGGAGGAAGCUCCGGCUAACUACGUGCCAGCAGCCGCGGUAUUACGUAGGGAGCGAGCGUUGUCCGGUAUUACUGGGUGUAAAGGGAGCGUAGGCGGGGAUGAAAGUUGGGUGUAAAAACUACCGGCUCAACUGGUAGUCGCACUUAAAACUGCAGCUCUUGAGUGAAGUAGGGGCAGGCGGAAUUCCUAGUGUAGCGGUGAAAUGCGUAGAUAUUAGGAGGAACACCAGUGGCGAAGGCGGCCUGCUGGGCUUUUACUGACGCUGAGGCUCGAAAGUGUGGGGAGCAAACAGGAUUAGAUACCCGUGUAGUC
rnacentral:rRNA from 1 species